rnacentral:tRNA from 1 species
GGUGGCUCAGUGGUAGAGCACAUGCCUUACAUGUGUGAGGCACUGGGUUCAAUCCUCAGCACCA